GAUGAACGCUAGCGGCAGGCCUAAUACAUGCAAGUCGAACGAUAGUGAGAAGCUUGCUUCUCACGAAAGUGGCGCACGGGUGCGUAACGCGUAUGCAACCUACCUUAAUCAGGGGGAUAGCCCGAAGAAAUUCGGAUUAACACCGCAUAAAAUCACAGUAUAGCAUUAUACAAUGAUCAAAUAUUUAUAGGAUUAAGAUGGGCAUGCGUGACAUUAGUUAGUUGGCGGGGUAACGGCCCACCAAGACCACGAUGUCUAGGGGAUCUGAGAGGAUGACCCCCCACACUGGUACUGAGACACGGACCAGACUCCUACGGGAGGCAGCAGUAAGGAAUAUUGGUCAAUGGAGGCAACUCUGAACCAGCCAUGCCGCGUGCAGGAAGACAGCCCUCUGGGUCGUAAACUGCUUUUAUUCGGGAAUAAACCUAUCUACGUGUAGAUAGCUGAAGUACCGAAGG
rnacentral:rRNA from 1 species